ACUCGAUUCAUUUUUGAAAGUGCGGGUUAAGCCCAUUCCAUUCACUCACUCUUUCCGCCUCUCACGCACCUCCCUUUCCGCCUCUCUCACGCACCUCCCUCUCCGCCUCUCUCUCUCUCUCGCCUCUCUCUCCGCCUCUCUUCCUCGCCUCUCUCUCUCAUCUCUCUGUCUCUUCCCGGCAUCUCUCUCUUCCUCGCAUCUCUCUCUCCCUUUUCUGCCUCUCCCCCUCUCUACACUCUCUCUUUCUCUUUUCGACUGAAAAUUUUGUGAAUCCAUAAUUCAUCUCCAUUGAAGACGAAGUUUAAGCCUCAAUCAGAUAUUUUGGAGUUUCGAUUGAUCUAUCCAAACAGUUUAAGUUCUAACCGAAGCUCGGGGAAAUCCAGAGUGCAGCCAUGGCUUAUGGCAAUUCGAGAUCAGUAAGUGCAAGCUUUGAUGAGUAUUAAAGCUGCUUUGAAGGAUCCUCAUGGGGUUUUAGCAAAGUGAGAUUCUGAUGCAGCUGAUCCAUGUAGCUGGACAAUGGUCACCUGUUCACCUGAUUAUCUUGUCGUUGGCCUAGGAACUCCAAGCCAGACUUUAUCUGGUAUUCUUUCUCCAAGCAUUGGUAACUUGACAAAUCUUCAGACAGUGCAAGUGCUCAAUCGCAAAUUUAUCUGCAGAGGAACUUUAAGCCAGAGUUUAUAUGGUAAAUGAUCCGCCACUACCUCCUGUGGCCAGGGUAGAGGAUAAGCUCUACAUAUUGAUAAUGCCUAGAGGUGUUGCGGUUCUCCAGUGUUCUCGUAUUCACUUCACAAAUUUUGUAUUUUAUUUGUAAAUUAUGAAGAACUGGCUGUGGCCAAAGUUUGGAUUUUAUUUGUGAAUUUUUAAUAUUUAUCAUAGUUGAUUUAGGUACUACUGACUAUGUAAUGAAUUGGGAAGUAUGCUAUUGACAUGAAAUUAAUUAAUUUGUGUA